UUCUAGCGAGCCCACCUCCCACCCGUGUUUACUGUACCUUAGUUGCUUCGGCGGGCCCGCCAUUCGUGGCCGCCGGGGGCUCUCAGCCCCGGGCCCGCGCCCGCCGGAGACACCACGAACUCUGUCUGAUCUAGUGAAGUCUGAGUUGAUUGUAUCGCAAUCAGUUAAAACUUUCAACAAUGGAUCUCUUGGUUCCGGCAUCGAUGAAGAACGCAGCGAAAUGCGAUAACUAGUGUGAAUUGCAGAAUUCCGUGAAUCAUCGAGUCUUUGAACGCACAUUGCGCCCCCUGGUAUUCCGGGGGGCAUGCCUGUCCGAGCGUCAUUGCUGCCCAUCAAGCACGGCUUGUGUGUUGGGUCGUCGUCCCCUCUCCGGGGGGGACGGGCCCCAAAGGCAGCGGCGGCACCGCGUCCGAUCCUCGAGCGUAUGGGGCUUUGUCACCCGCUCUGUAGGCCCGGCCGGCGCUUGCCGAACGCAAAUCAAUCUUUUUCCAGGUUGACCUCGGAUCAGGUAGGGAUACCCGCUGAACUUAAGCAUAUCAAUAA
rnacentral:rRNA from 1 species